rnacentral:rRNA from 1 species
UACGGGGGGGCAAGCGUUGUUCGGAAUUACUGGGCGUAAAGGGCUCGUAGGUGGCCAACUAAGUCAGACGUGAAAUCCCCAGGCUUAACCUGGGAACUGCGUCUGAUACUGGAUGGCUUGAAUUCGGGAGAGGGAUGCAGAAUUCCAGGUGUAGCGGUGAAAUGCGUAGAUAUCUGGAGGAAUACCGGUGGCGAAGGCGGCAUCCUGGACCGAGAUUGACGCUGAUGAGCGAAAGCCAGGGGAGCAAACGGG